UCAAGAGCAGCUCCCGCCAUCACUGUCAUGGACUGGUUUGAGGACAGCCGGCUGGACGUGUGUGUAUGAGCUGCACGUUUGGCUGCUGGCAGCUGACCGCCACAGUGUCAUCGCUCAGCACCACGUGGCACCCCGCACCUCUGAGAGGGGCCCUCCUGGCCGCUGGGUCCAGGUGUCCCACGUGUUCCGCCAGUACGGCCCCGGCGUGCGCUUCGUCCACUUCCUGCACAAGACCAAGGACCGCGCGGAGCCCGGGGGGCUGCGGCGCACAAGGGUGACCGACUCCUCCGUGUCCGUGCAGUUCAGGGAGGGGGCUGUGUGACCUCGUCUCCUCCCCAAUGUGGGACCUCACACGCCCCAACGCCUGCCUCCUUGGAGUUCCCCUGCACGCUCGGGGCUCCAGAGGCCAGGGGCCACUCCUCCCAAGGCAGUGCUUGGCACAUAGUAGGUGCUCAAUAAAUCCUUGUUGACUAAACCAAUCAGCACCUGUGCCCAAGGA